GAUGAAGAACGUAGCGAAAUGCGAUAAGUAAUGUGAAUUGCAGAAUUCAGUGAAUCAUCGAAUCUUUGAACGCACCUUGCGCCCUUUGGACAUUCCGAAGGGCAUGCCUGUUUGAGUAUCAUGAACACCUCAACUCUCACGGCUUGUCCGUGAUGAGCUUGGACUUUGGGGGUCUUGCCGGCCUGUGGUCGGCUCCUCUCAAAUGGAUCAGCUUGCCAGUGUUUGGUGGCAUCACAGGUGUGAUAACUAUCUGCGCUUGUGGUUUUCCAUCAGAUAACCUUCAGUGAUAUGGAGGUUCGCUGGAGCUCACAAAUGUCUCUCCUUAGUGAGGACAGCUCUUUGAACGUUUGAUCUCAAAUCAGGUAGGACUACCCGCUGAACUUAAGCAUAUCAAUAGCGGAGGA
rnacentral:misc_RNA from 1 species